rnacentral:rRNA from 1 species
GGCCGCCCAACACUGGGACUGAGAACUGCCCAGACUCCUACGGGAGGCUGCAGUCGAGAAUCAUUCGCAAUGGGCGAAAGCCUGACGAAGCGACGCCGUGUGAGCGAUGAAGGCCUUAGGGUUGUAAAGCUCUUUCGCCUGGGAACAAGAGAAGUUGGCUAAUAUCCAGCCAAUUUGAGGGUACCAGGUAAAGAAGCACCGGCUAACUCCCA